AGAGUUUGAUCAUGGCUCAGGAUGAACGCUGGCGGCGUGCCUAAUACAUGCAAGUCGAGCGAACGGACGAGAAGCUUGCUUCUCUGAUGUUAGCGGCGGACGGGUGAGUAACACGUGGAUAACCUACCUAUAAGACUGGGAUAACUUCGGGAAACCGGAGCUAAUACCGGAUAAUAUUUUGAACCGCAUGGUUCAAAAGUGAAAGACGGUCUUGCUGUCACUUAUAGAUGGAUCCGCGCUGCAUUAGCUAGUUGGUAAGGUAACGGCUUACCAAGGCAACGAUGCAUAGCCGACCUGAGAGGGUGAUCGGCCACACUGGAACUGAGACACGGUCCAGACUCCUACGGGAGGCAGCAGUAGGGAAUCUUCCGCAAUGGGCGAAAGCCUGACGGAGCAACGCCGCGUGAGUGAUGAAGGUCUUCGGAUCGUAAAACUCUGUUAUUAGGGAAGAACAUAUGUGUGAGUAACUGUGCACAUCUUGACGGUACCUAAUCAGAAAGCCACGGCUAACUACGUGCCAGCAGCCGCGGUAAUACGUAGGUGGCAAGCGUUAUCCGGAAUUAUUGGGCGUAAAGCGCGCGUAGGCGGUUUUUUAAGUCUGAUGUGAAAGCCCACGGCUCAACCGUGGAGGGUCAUUGGAAACUGGAAAACUUGAGUGCAGAAGAGGAAAGUGGAAUUCCAUGUGUAGCGGUGAAAUGCGCAGAGAUAUGGAGGAACACCAGUGGCGAAGGCGACUUUCUGGUCUGUAACUGACGCUGAUGUGCGAAAGCGUGGGGAUCAAACAGGAUUAGAUACCCUGGUAGUCC
rnacentral:rRNA from 1 species